CAACUUUCAACAACGGAUCUCUUGGCUCUCGCAUCGAUGAAGAACGCAGCGAAAUGCGAUAAGUAAUGUGAAUUGCAGAAUUCAGUGAAUCAUCGAAUCUUUGAACGCACCUUGCGCUUCUCAGUUAUCUGAGGAGCAUGCCUGUUUGAGUGUCAUUA
rnacentral:rRNA from 1 species